CUGCGCCGCGGCUCCCGUGGGAACAUGAAGCGUUGCUGCUUGAAAGCUGUGACGACGUGAACACGCGGUGGUUUAGCAGC
rnacentral:lncRNA from 1 species